UACGUAGGGUGCAAGCGUUAAUCGGAAUUACUGGGCGUAAAGCGUGCGCAGGCGGUUCGGCAAGAAAGGUGUGAAAUCCCAGGGCUUAACCUUGGAAUGGCACUUUUAACUGCCGAGCUAGAGUAUGUCAGAGGGGGGUAGAAUUCCACGUGUAGCAGUGAAAUGCGUAGAGGUGUGGAGGAACACCAGUGGCGAAGGCGGCCUUCUGGACCAAUACUGACGCUCAUGCACGAAAGCGUGGGGAGCAAACAGG
rnacentral:rRNA from 1 species